UACGAAGGGGGGCUAGCGUUGCUCGGAAUCACUGGGCGUAAAGCGCACGUAGGCGGCUUCUUAAGUCAGGGGGUGAAAUCCUGGAGCUCAACUCCAGAACUGCCUUUGAUACUGAGAGCUUGAGUCCGGGAGAGGUGAGUGGAACUGCGAGUGUAGAGGUGAAAUUCGUAGAUAUUCGCAAGAACACCAGUGGCGAAGGCGGCUCACUGGCCCGGUACUGACGCUGAGGUGCGAAAGCGUGGGGAGCAAACAGG
rnacentral:rRNA from 1 species